UUUUUUCCAUUUUAAAGCAUGAAUUUCUUUUUCUUCCACCUGAAGUCUGCACAGUAUUCCACAGAGCAGCUGUCCACAGCAAGAAACUCAUCAUUCACUCUCUGAUCAGCACAUACAGUCUUUCCAUUUAAUAGUGAAAAAUGUGAGGCAUACUCAAGAGCCAGUAUAAAGCAUCCAGCUUGGGAAUCCUCCAGGCUGCGUGGAUGAGAUGGAGCUCUCACAUAGGCUGCCAAAACUAGAAUCAUACAUGCCUAGAAUUUCUUAGGCUUGGACUUCAGUCAAGGCUGUUUGAAUGGACAUGAAGGCUAUGAAGAGAGACUGAUGUCUUCCACUCAGGGAAUGGCAUAAAUUCUCCUGGACCUUUUGGAAAUUAUUCUUGCAGAAGAAGGUCAGAGGACAGUUGCAUUCUCCCAGGUUUUUAUAUUUGGUUUGUCCUAAAUUGAGAAAGAGAAGGGGAAAAGUAAA